rnacentral:rRNA from 1 species
GACGAACGCUGGCGGCGUGCUUAACACAUGCAAGCCGAACGGUAAGGCCCUUCGGGGUACACGAGUGGCGAACGGGUGAGUAACACGUGGGUGAUCUGCCCUGCACUUCGGGAUAAGCCUGGGAAACUGGGUCUAAUACCGGAUGGGACUCCGGACUGCAUGGUCGGGGGUGGAAAGCUUUUGCAGUGUGGGAUGGGCCCGCGGCCUAUCAGCUUGUUGGUGGGGUGAUGGCCUACCAAGGCGACGACGGGGAGCCGGCCGGAGAGGGUGACCGGCCACACUGGGACUGAGAUACGGCCCAGACUCCUACGGGAGGCAGCAGUGGGGAAUAUUGCACAAUGGGCGCAAGCCUGAUGCAGCGACGCUGCGUGAGGGAUGACGGCCUUCGGGUUGUAAACCUCUUUCAGCAUCGACGAAGCGAAAGUGACGGUAGGUGCAGAAGAAGGACCGGCCAACUACGUGCCAGCAGCCGCGGUAA